ACACCCGCAGCGUCCCGGGCCCCGCUUUCCUUUUCAAGGGGCGGGUUGUAGAUCGCGCGCGCACCCUGGAGAGCCCGCUGGUUUGUGUGAGGCCCUGGCCCUGUGGGUAGCAGAACACUCUGUCUCGCUGUGAGCAACAAUACACUAAAAAAAAAAGAAAAGAAAAAAAAAAGUAAGAUCUGCAUGUUCUGUUCAUUUUAAAUGCUUUAUAUCGUAAUACUACUCUGCCAUUAAGCCGUCAUUUUAGGUUUCUUAAAGUAGAACAAUUUUUUUUUUUAGAUGGAGCCUCGCUCUGUCGCCCAGGCUGGAGUGCAGUGGCGCGAUCUCAGCUCACUGCAGCCUCUGCCUCCCAGGUUCCAGCGAUUCUCCCGCCUCAGCCUCCGGAGUAGCUGGGAUUACAGGCGUCUGCCACUACGCCCGGCUAAUUUUUGUAUUUUUAGUAGAGACAGGGUUUCACCAUGUUGGCCAGACUGGUCUCGAAAUCCUGAACUCAGGUGAUCCGCCAGCCUCGGCCUCCCGAAGUGCUAGGAUUACAGGCCUGAGCCACCGCGCCAGGCCAGAACAAUUUUAUUUCAUUUAUAUGUUGACUGAAAUCGUAACAAUGUAACUCUUUUAAUGCUAUUGCUAUGAAAUUUCAACUUUGCGACUAAAAUUAGAUUGAUGGCUUUUAGCGUUAUAUUUUGCUAUAUUAUAAUUUCAUAUUUACAGAGUGAGCUAAUGCUCCUUGGGAUUAGUCAUUAACCGUGAGAGGAAAGCUGUUAGCCAAGAAAAAAAAAAUAGCUCGUGCACAAUUUCAGCGCCUGGCAGGGGAGGGCCCUUCCACAUUCAUGGACUGCAACUGGGGCCAGAGUUAAUGCUAAACUGGGGGAAAAUCUAAUUUGAAUGCCUGC
rnacentral:lncRNA from 10 species